rnacentral:rRNA from 1 species
UCACUUGUCCCUUAAAUGAGGACGCGUAUGAAAGGCAACAUGAGAGAAAACCUGUCUCCUAAGGAAUGCCAAUGAAAUUGAACUGCCAGUUCAAAAGCUGGUAUAAAAAAGCAAGACAAAAAGACCCUGUGGAACUUUAAUUAACUGCUUUACAUAAUAUAAACCAGUAAUUUCAGUUGGGACAACUUUAGAAAAAAUAAACUUCCUAAUUUUACUAGACUAACUAGUCCAAAACAACCAUGACCCAGUAGUACUGAUUAACGAAACAAGCUACCCCAGGGAUAACAGCGCCACCUUCUCAAAGAGUUCAUAUCAACAAGAAGAUCUACGACCUCGAUGUUGGAUCAGGGUACCCAGACGGUG